CGGGCUGCGGUUGCUUCCUGCUGCCGGGGCGUCGGUAUCGAGAAGGUUCGCGGGUGUCGCCUGGGCCGCAGCCUCCGGGACAGGAAUGCCAUGCUUGUAAACGAGAUAAAACUACUCUGUGGUCAGAGAUAUUGAGUCUGAGCAAUGGCCUAAUGAAGAUGUGCAGCAAAAUGGGUUGAAUGAGUGCAGAACUGCCUUAUUCUGUAAGUACUCAUCUGUGAUUGGAGUGGAUAUUUUACUGUUUUUUGUUUGAAUUGUCUUUCAGUGCUCUUCUGCUGAAAGAACUUAGAGUUUUGACAGUAAUUGUUACAGUAAUAUUGCAGGUGUUUCUU
rnacentral:lncRNA from 1 species